rnacentral:lncRNA from 1 species
GGGCACCUCUUGAGUUUCAAUUGUUUCAUUAGAGCAGGAGUUACCACACAGAGUCCAUUCCUCAGCAGGAGCAACACAGACUGCUCUGUGAGGACUGCUUUCCUGGAACAGCAGCAGCAGUACACUGUCAGACCAAAGCUUUUCUCCUGUGAUGCAACAUUUCUAAGAAGUUCCUUUCGCCUCUCGGAUGGGAGCAGCCAGUCAUUCACUCCAACUCUUAAUUGCUGCUCUGCAAAAUCCCCAAAAGGAAUGUAACAACUUGUUUCUCACUGUGAAAAUGGGAGGUUCUCCACUGCAAGCUUUAAGCCUUCGGCUGAAUACCUGCUGAACAUCUGGCUUGGGAUCAAGGUUUGCUUUUAUUGUUGUCCAUGCCCUGCUACAACGGGUGGACACAUUGCUAGAUUAAUACUACCAACAGAAGCGGGGUGGAUAGACUCCCUUCCUUCCUCCUCUUACCCCCAGUAAAUGCAGCAGCUGCAGCCUGACAGAACACGCCAGUCUUUCAGAAAGACUCAGAUACCACAAGAAAAAGCCUCAAGCACAGCAUGGCCCCAUGGAAAGCAGAGAAAGGCUGCUGCGAGCAGCAUGGGACACGUGCCCCAGGAUGCACAGCUCAUGAGUGAGCAUACAUGUGCACGUGGGAAGCAUCUCUAAUCCCCUGAAUACUAAACGUGAACCCCUUUUAUCUGGUAUAUGCUUUGAUUUUCUUCCUAAGAAAUAGCAAGCAUGUAUGUUUGGCAUAAGAAAGCUUUCAUCAUGCGAGAUCCCCAAAGCACGCAAAAUGACGGUCCAGGCAUGCUAACUGCACCACAGGGCAAAUUUCUCUUUUCCAAACCUCAGCAAAAUUCAUACAUUCCUUCUAAAUCCAGUUGCAAACCGCUAUCCUGAAGGCACUAAUACUGAAUGCAGGUAUUGAUAGUGCCAAGCAGUAAAUCUGCACCCAUAAGGAGCACGUAGUUCAACCAGAGCCCACAGCAAGGGGAAGGUAACCAACCGACCAAAGGAAAAAGGAUGCACCUAGAGCAAACAAUUGCAAACCUUGUAGGGAGACACAGAUUAGCAGUCUAAUUAGAACCACCAGAUAACCACAUGUAAAAUAGGGUUUUUAGUGCAUUUUCAAAGCACUGUGACCGGAAGACACGUUACAUCCAUCUAAAAGGAUGAAUUCUGCUCUAG